rnacentral:tRNA from 1 species
GCGGGCGUAGUUUAGUGGCAAAACGUGGCCUUCCCAAGGCUAAGUUGUGAGUUCGAUUCUCAUCGCCCGCU